GAUGAACGCUAGCGGCAGGCUUAAUACAUGCAAGUCGAACGGCAGUCUUCGGACUGUAGUGGCGCACGGGUGAGUAACGCGUAACUGACCUACCCCAAAGUCGCGGAUAACGAUUCGAAAGAAUCGCUAAUACGUGAUGUGCUGUCAGAUCCUGUUCUGCCAGUAAAGAUUGAUUGCUUUGGGAUGGGGUUGCGUUCCAUCAGCUAGUUGGUGGGGUAAAGGCCCACCAAGGCGACGACGGAUAGCCGGCCUGAGAGGGUGGCCGGCCACAGGGGCACUGAGACACGGGUCCCACUCCUACGGGAGGCAACAGUUAGGAAUCUUCCACAAUGGGCGAAAGCCUGAUGGAGCGACGCCGCGUGAGGGAUGAAGGUCUUCGGAUCGUAAACCUCUGAAUCAGGGACGUAAGACACUUCGGUGGGAUGACGGUACCUGAGUAAUAGCACCGGCUAACUCCGUGCCAGCCGCCGCGGUAACAC
rnacentral:rRNA from 1 species